rnacentral:rRNA from 1 species
CAGUCAAAGAGGGUAAAAACCCCGUAGACGAAAUGUGGAAGACACCUAGGAGGAUCCUGAGUACGGCGGAACACGAGAAAUUCCGUCGGAAUCCGGGAGGACCAUCUCCCAAGGCUAAAUACUCCCUAGUGACCGAUAGUGAACCAGUACCGUGAGGGAAAGGUGAAAAGCACCCCGGAAGGGGAGUGAAAUAGAACCUGAAACCGUGUGCCUACAACAAGUCAAAGCCCGUUAAUGGGUGAUGGCGUGCCUUUUGUAGAAUGAACCGGCGAGUUACGAUUGCAUGCGAGGUUAAGUUGAAGAGACGGAGCCGCAGCGAAAGCGAGUCUGAAUAGGGCGUUUGAGUAUGUAGUCGUAGACCCGAAACCAUGUGAUCUACCCAUGUCCAGGUUGAAGGUGCGGUAAAACGCACUGGAGGACCGAACCCACGUACGUUGAAAAGUGCGGGGAUGAGGUGUGGGUAGCGGAGAAAUUCCAAACGAACUUGGAGAUAGCUGGUUCUCUCCGAAAUAGCUUUAGGGCUA